UGUAACCCACUCCUCUUCUGGUUCAAAGUCUAAUCAGUUUACCUCACAUUCCUGCUCCUGUGGUAGGAAAUCCUGGACAACUCAUCUCUAUCCUGGAGCCUCAGUUCCCCUACUUUGCAAACAAGAUUAAGAAACUGAUGUCACAGGAGGCAAUGUUUGGGAGGAAGAUGCUGUUCAGAUGAAAUCCAUCUCAUCUCCAUGAGAAGACGAAUUUUCUGCACUUUAAUUUAAUUCAGGCAACUAAAUUAUUUUAAAUACAUCUUUUGCACAUGUAGGUCAUUUUGUUCAUGUGGCUAUUUUCCUAGAGAAUGUGUUAAGAGGAGCUGAAGGAAAUGAAGCUAAUUAAAAUUUUAUUACAUUCA